rnacentral:lncRNA from 1 species
AUGACUUCUUUCCAGUAGCUAUGCCUGAACUGAACCUCGUACAAGACUUUCUUUCUGGCCUUACGCUUCCCAGUCUCAGGAAAAGAAUAGCUCUUUCGGUCAAAGUCGAUAAGGAUAAAAGUCCAAUAGCUAGGGUGGGAUUGUCCUCUGUUCUCAACUCGGGAAGGAAAUCAAUAAGCAUGGAUUCACCUAUUCUAGAAAAAAAGAAAUAUGCUUUAGGUUUAGCUUUCGAAAAAGACAAGGCCUUACAACAGCUCAUUCCCGGAAGAAAAAGAAGAGGAUUCUAA